GGCCGCGGCAGGACUGUAAAAAACACGGAAAUCGGAAAGUUCAGUCCAAGGAAAGUGAUUGGAUGAACCGGCUUUCUCCUGCCUGCGCGCACUCCACUCGUUCACCACACAGUCGGGCACGUGACCAGUCUUCUGCACGGCGUCGGCAAACAACUAGAGCUACGGAGCUACGGGGGUACGGUUAGCAGACGAGUUGCUGCACUGAACUAAAGAAGAAAAGAGUUGCAGAACGGCAGAGAAAGUGCCUACAACAGCUUCCGGUCGCAACAGACAGAGCAGUAGAGACGGACACGGACACAAAGAAGUUGGAUACUAGAGGAGGAGUGAACAGAGUAAACAUCGGUGUGGCUCUUCACCGCUGACGUCAACUCCGGGAGGAGAAGAGGGUGAAAGGUACAGCAAGUUGUACAUGAAGAAGUCCAGGACCUGGAUGUUGUCUGCCAUGGACCAGAGCAACGAGACGAGACGAUCCCCGUCAACAGCUAAGCAGAAGCAGGACCACUGCCUAAAGAGUGGACGACAGCACAGCCUGACCCCUCAGCCGACAGACCUGC